AACCAUAGAAACCUGCGGAGUACCUGCGGAGGGAUCAUUACACAAUAAACAUAUGAAGGCUGCACCGCCAACAGGCGGCAAGGCUGGAGUAUUUUAUUACCCUUGUCUUUUGCGCACUUGUUGUUUCCUGGGCGGGUUCGCCCGCCUCCAGGACCACAUGAUAAACCUUUUUUAUGCAGUUGCAAUCAGCGUCAGUACAACAAAUGUAAAUCAUUUACAACUUUUAACAAUGGAUCUCAG
rnacentral:misc_RNA from 1 species